rnacentral:rRNA from 1 species
UACGGAGGGUGCAAGCGUUGUCCGGAAUCACUGGGCGUAAAGGGCGCGUAGGCGGCUCAUGAAGGCUGUGGUGAAAGUCCGGGGCUCAACCUCGGAUCGGCCGUGGCGACUCGUGGGCUGGAGCACUGUAGAGGCGGGUGGAAUUCCGGGUGUAGCGGUGGAAUGCGUAGAGAUCAGGAAGAACACCCGUGGCGAAGGCGGCGCUCUGGGCCUGUACUGACGCUGAGACGCGAAAGCGCGGGGAGCGAACGGG